ACAAGCUUUUUAAUUGCGGGACAGGAAACGGACGACCGGAAAUGAAUUUUUAAAAAAUGAAAAAAUCAUUCCUACACUUUAUCAUUCUCUAUUAUUCCUGAAAAUUUCAAGAAAAUCUAUCCAGUCAUCUCUGAGAAAAUCGGGGAAAAAAAUAAUAAUAAUAAUAAUAAUAAUAAAAAGAAACAUUACAAUCACUAUAAGGUCUUCCGUUGGAAACGGAAGACCUUAAAAACCUUACAAUCACUAUAAGGUCUUCCGUUGGAAACGGAAGACCUUAA